rnacentral:rRNA from 1 species
AGUGAACGCUGGCGGUGGGCCUAACACAUGCAAGUCGAACGGCAGCACAGUAAGAGCUUGCUCUUACGGGUGGCGAGUGGCGGACGGGUGAGGAAUACAUCGGAAUCUACUUUUUCGUGGGGGAUAACGUAGGGAAACUUACGCUAAUACCGCAUACGACCUACGGGUGAAAGCAGGGGAUCUUCGGACCUUGCGCGAUUGAAUGAGCCGAUGUCGGAUUAGCUAGUUGGCGGGGUAAAGGCCCACCAAGGCGACGAUCCGUAGCUGGUCUGAGAGGAUGAUCAGCCACACUGGAACUGAGACACGGUCCAGACUCCUACGGGAGGCAGCAGUGGGGAAUAUUGGACAAUGGGCGCAAGCCUGAUCCAGCCAUACUGCGUGGGUGAAGAAGGCCUUCGGGUUGUAAAGCCCUUUUGUUGGGAAAGAAAAGCAGCAGGUUAAUACCCCGCUGUUCUGACGGUACCCAAAGAAUAAGCACCGGCUAACUUCGUG